UGUUUUUAAGCCAAUUAUACCGUGAAACUGCGAAUGGCUCAUUAAAUCAGUUAUCGUUUAUUUGAUAAUACCUUACUACUUGGAUAACCGUGGUAAUUCUAGAGCUAAUACAUGCUGAAAAUCCCGACUUCGGAAGGGAUGUGUUUAUUAGAUAAAAAACCAAUGCCCUUCGGGGCUCUUUGGUGAUUCAUGAUAACUUUACGGAUCGCAUAGCCUUGCGCUGGCGACGGUUCAUUCAAAUUUCUGCCCUAUCAACUUUCGAUGGUAAGGUAUUGGCUUACCAUGGUUUCAACGGGUAACGGGGAAUUAGGGUUCGAUUCCGGAGAGGGAGCCUGAGAAACGGCUACCACAUCCAAGGAAGGCAGCAGGCGCGCAAAUUACCCAAUCCCGACACGGGGAGGUAGUGACAAUAAAUACUGAUACAGGGCUCUUUUGGGUCUUGUAAUUGGAAUGAGUACAAUUUAAACCUCUUAACGAGGAACAAUUGGAGGGCAAGUCUGGUGCCAGCAGCCGCGGUAAUUCCAGCUCCAAUAGCGUAUAUUAAAGUUGUUGCAGUUAAAAAGCUCGUAGUUGAAACUUGGGCCUGGCUGGCGGGUCCGCCUCACCGCGUGCACUCGUCCGGCCGGGCCUUCCUUCUGAAGAACCUCAUGCCCUUCACUGGGCGUGUUGGGGAAUCAGGACUUUUACUUUGAAAAAAUUAGAGUGUUCAAAGCAGGCCUUUGCUCGAAUACGUUAGCAUGGAAUAAUAAAAUAGGGCGUGCGUUUCUAUUUUGUUGGUUUCUAGAGACGCCGCAAUGAUUAACAGGAACAGUCGGGGGCAUCAGUAUUCAGUUGUCAGAGGUGAAAUUCUUGGAUUUACUGAAGACUAACUACUGCGAAAGCAUUUGCCAAGGAUGUUUUCAUUAAUCAGUGAACGAAAGUUAGGGGAUCGAAGACGAUCAGAUACCGUCGUAGUCUUAACCGUAAACUAUGCCGACUAGGGAUCGGGCGAUGUUCUUUUUCUGACUCGCUCGGCACCUUACGAGAAAUCAAAGUUUUUGGGUUCUGGGGGGAUUAUGGCCGCAAGGCUGAAACUUAAAGAAAAUUGACGGAAGGUCACCACCAGGGCGUGGAGCCUGGCGGCUUAAUUUGACUCCACCCGGGGAAACUCCCCAGGGUCCAAAUGAAUUAAGGAUUGGACGAUUGGAGAGCUCUUUCUUGAUUUUUCAGGGGGGGGGGGCAUGGCCGUUCUUAAUUCCGGGGGGGGAACUGGCUUGCUUAAUUGCCAAUAACCGACCAGAACCUUAACCUUGCUAAAUUAGCCAGGGUUAGCUUUUGGCUGGGCCCCCCGGUUCUUUAAAGAGAAACUUUCACUCCAGGUGUGUUGGGAAGUUUGGAAGGCAAAAACAGGGCUUGGGGAGGCCCUUUAAAGUUUUUGGGGGGCCCAA
rnacentral:rRNA from 1 species